rnacentral:rRNA from 1 species
GUGGGGAAUAUUGGGCAAUGGGCGCAAGCCUGACCCAGCAACGCCGCGUGAGGGAAGAAGGCUUUCGGGUUGUAAACCUCUGUCCUUGGUGACGAAACAAAUGACGGUAGCCAAGGAGGAAGCCCCGGCUAACUACGUGCCAGCAGCCGCGGUAAUACGUAGGGGGCGAGCGUUGUCCGGAAUUACUGGGCGUAAAGGGUGCGUAGGUGGCCUUUUAAGUUGGAUGUGAAAUACCCGGGCUUAACUUGGGGGGUGCAUCCAAAACUGGGAGGCUAGAGUGCAGGAGAGGAAAGCGGAAUUCCUAGUGUAGCGGUGAAAUGCGUAGAUAUUAGGAGGAACACCAGUGGGGAAGGCGGCUUUCUGGACUGUAACUGACACUGAGGCACGAAAGCGUGGGGAGCAAACAGGAUUAGAUACCCGAGUAGUCC